rnacentral:rRNA from 1 species
CCCUAAGGCGAGGCCGAAAGGCGUAGUCGAUGGGAAACAGGUUAAUAUUCCUGUACUUGGUGUUACUGCGAAGGGGGGACGGAGAAGGCUAUGUUAGCCGGGCGACGGUUGUCCCGGUUUAAGCAUGUAGGCUGAUUAUCCAGGCAAAUCCGGAUAAUCAAGGCUGAGGUGUGAUGACGAGGCACUACGGUGCUGAAGUAACAAAUGCCCUGCUUCCAGGAAAAGCCUCUAAGCAUCAGGUAACAUCAAAUCGUACCCCAAACCGACACAGGUGGUCAGGUAGAGAAUACCAAGGCGCUUGAGAGAACUCGGGUG